UACGGGGGGGAGCAAGCGUUGUUCGGAUUUACUGGGCGUAAAGGGCUCGUAGGCGGCCAACUAAGUCAGACGUGAAAUCCCUCGGCUUAACCGGGGAACUGCGUCUGAUACUGGAUGGCUUGAGGUUGGGAGAGGGAUGCGGAAUUCCAGGUGUAGCGGUGAAAUGCGUAGAUAUCUGGAGGAACACCGGUGGCGAAGGCGGCAUCCUGGACCAAUUCUGACGCUGAGGAGCGAAAGCCAGGGGAGCAAACGGG
rnacentral:rRNA from 1 species